rnacentral:rRNA from 1 species
UAAUACGUAGGGGGCAAGCGUUGUCCGGAAUCAUUGGGCGUAAAGCGCGUGUAGGCGGCUCAGUAAGUCUGUUCUGAAAGUCCAGGGCUCAACCCUGGGAUGCGGAUGGAUACUGCUGAGCUCGAGUCCGGAAGAGGCGAGUGGAAUUCCUGGUGUAGCGGUGAAAUGCGCAGAUAUCAGGAGGAACACCAAUGGCGAAGGCAGCUCGCUGGGACGUGACUGACGCUGAGACGCGAAAGCGUGGGGAGCAAACAGGAUUAGAUACCCUGGUAGUCCACGCCGUAAACGAUGGGCACUAGGUGUAGGGGGUGUCGACUCCCCCUGUGCCGAAGCUAACGCAUUAAGUGCCCCGCCUGGGGAGUACGGCCGCAAGGCUAAAACUCAAAUGAAUUGACGG